rnacentral:tRNA from 1 species
UCCCUUGUGGCUCAGACAGUAAAGAAUCUGCCUGAAAUGCGGGAGACCCAGGUUCGAUCCCUGGUUUGGGAA